GACGAACGCUGGCGGCGUGCCUAACACAUGCAAGUCGAGCGGGGUGAGUUCUUCGGAACGAUCCUAGCGGCGGACGGGUGAGUAACACGUGGGUAACCUGCCUCAAAGUGGGGGAUAGCCUUCCGAAAGGAAGAUUAAUACCGCAUAACCCAUAGCUUCCGCAUGGAAGCAAUGGUAAAGAUUUAUCGCUUUGAGAUGGACCCGCGGCGCAUUAGCUAGUUGGUGAGGUAACGGCUCACCAAGGCCACGAUGCGUAGCCGACCUGAGAGGGUGAUCGGCCACAUUGGAACUGAGACACGGUCCAGACUCCUACGGGAGGCAGCAGUGGGGAAUAUUGCACAAUGGGCGAAAGCCUGAUGCAGCAACGCCGCGUGAGUGAUGAAGGCCUUCGGGUUGUAAAGCUCUGUCUUUUGGGACGAUAAUGACGGUACCAAAGGAGGAAGCCACGGCUAACUACGUGCCAGCCGCCGCCGUAAUAC
rnacentral:rRNA from 1 species